rnacentral:rRNA from 1 species
AUCCUGGCUCAGGAUGAACGCUAGCUACAGGCUUAACACAUGCAAGUCGAGGGGCAGCAUGAGAUUAGCUUGCUGAUCUUGAUGGCGACCGGCGCACGGGUGAGUAACGCGUAUCCAACCUUCCCCAUACUCAGGCAUAGCCCGGUGAAAACCGGAUUAACUCCUGAUAGUUUCACUAGAUGGCAUCUGACGGUGAAUAAAGCUCAGCGGUAAGGGAUGGGGAUGCGUCUGAUUAGCUUGUUGGCGGGUAACGGCCCACCAAGGCGACGAUCAGUAGGGUUCUGAGAGGAAGGUCCCCCACAUUGGAACUGAGACACGGUCCAAACUCCUACGGGAGGCAGCAGUGAGGAAUAUUGGUCAAUGGGCGGAAGCCUGAACCAGCCAAGUAGCGUGCCAGGACGACGGCCCUAUGGGUUGUAAACUGCUUUUGUGCGGGAAUAAAGUCAGGGACGUGUCCCUGUUUGCAUGUACCGCAAGAAUAAGGACCGGCUAAUUCCGUGCCAGCCGCUGC